UACAGGCUACUUCAGUUCUUACUUUAUGCAUGGCCAUGCAUUUUUAGUCUUUAUAGUUUUCAUGCAUUGUUACUCAAUACCUCAUGCUAUACAUUCAAUCAGUUAUUACUUAUGAACAUAAACUCGUGCAUAUCAGCCUAACCUCAUUUAGUAUACCUGUACAUUCAAAAGUACUGAUCGCAUACUCUUUUCUUGUGCUAUGAUUGUCUUAUAUCAUAGGUUCAGACACUCGAAUCCCCC
rnacentral:lncRNA from 1 species